GUCCGUUACUUAUUUGUCUACAAAUCAGUGGCGGAUAGUGGCGAAAGGGUUAGUAAUAGAUAGGUAACGUACCCCGUGCUUCGGAAUAGCGUCGGUUGCUUCGGCAACCUACCGAAAGGGGCGGUAAAACCGGAUAAUAUCAUAAGUUGACAGGCUUAUGAUCAAAGAUUUAUCGGCGCAGGAGCGGCCUAUCUCCUAUCAGCUUGUUGGUGAGGUAAAAGCUCACCAAGGCAGCGACGGGUAGCGGGACUGAGAGGUUGGCCCGCAACAUCGGGACUGAGACACUGCCCGGACCUCCACGGAGGGCUGCAGUAACGAAUAUUGCGCAAUGGGCGAAAGCCUGACGCAGCGACGCCGCGUGUAGGAGGAAGUCUUUCGGGAUGUAAACUACUGUCAGGGCUAAGAAAGUGCACUUCGGUGCAUUGAUCUAUCCCAGAGGAAGUCACGGCUAACUUCGUGCCAGCAGCCGCGGUAAGACGAAGGUGGCAAGCGUUGUUCGGUGUUACUGGGCUUAAAG
rnacentral:rRNA from 1 species